CUGGCCAGGCCUGGCAUUUUCCACCCCUGCAAGCCUGCUGGCUUUAGGCCUCAGGCUAAAAUGAGCUAGAUCCUGACAGUAUUUCAUGGGAAGCCACCAGGGCAGGCAGGCAGGGAAGGUCCAGACAAAGGUCACCAUGUGAGGGGUCAGGAGUAUGUGUGGGUAAAGCUGCAGAAGAAGAUGGCCAGCCAGGGGUCUUCCAGGAGCUUGGGGGCGGGGAACUUGGAGCUUCCUCCUGAAGACACUUUAGCAGGGAACAGACAGGUCCCAUUGGUGUUUUUAAAGAUUUUAUUUAUUUUAGAGAGUGGGGGAGCAGGGAGGAGCAGAGGAACAAACAGACUCUGUUCUGAGCCCGGAGCCCACGACCCUGAGAUUGUGACCUGAGCCAAAGCCAAGAGUCAGAUGCUUAACCAGCUGAGCCACCCAGGUGCCUCCCCACCGCCUUUUUGUUUGUUUGUUUUUAAGAUUUUAUUUAUUAAUUUAUUUGAGGGAGAGAGAAGGAGGUGUUUUUAAAGUAGUUCUCUGCCUGCUGAGUGGAGAGUGCUAGAGGCCGGGGGGAGAAUGUCACAACAGUCCAGAGCUAGAUGCUCAUGCCUGCACGUGGGUAGGAACCAGAGGACUCCAGAGAUCCUGGUGGUAGACUGAGGCUGGGGGCGCCAGCAGCAGGAAGAAGGAGGACCCUGGGGUGUGCAGCCUGGGGGAACGGGUGGCCCAUGGUGCCCUUCCUGAGAUGGACACUGGGAGGGAAGAUGUUGUCUGUAGCUUGGAGACAUCUGGGAGGCUGUAGCCUCCAUUAGGCUGGCACUCGAGAGAGAAGGCCAGGCUGGAGGGGACGAUUUGGGAGUCAGGGCACGGGACAGUAAGGGACCCCAUGGGAUGGAAGGUGUGGGUGAGGGCAGGUACCGAGCAAGAGAAGAACUGAGCCCAGGGAGAAACAGGCCCACUCCAGGCGGAGGGGGCACCCUGCCACCGUCAGGAAGGAGAAUCAGGGUGGCAUCGACAGGGCCACCGGUGAGGCUGGAGGGGAGGGGUAGAGGGAAGAAGGCCAUGCUGGAUGCGCUGGGGAGAUACCGCCCUCGUCCCCUCCUCAGUCGCCAAGAAUGCCCGAUUCCACGGUGGGUGGGGUGCGUCCGGGCCGGGAUCUGUACACUCGGCCAGACCCCAUUGGCUGGCGGGCUGGAGCCGGCGCAGAGACAGGCCCCGCUGAUGCAACGUGGGCCUAUCGUUGCAGGCCCCGCUGAGGGGGUGCAGCUGUGCAGGCCGCUGCCCAGAGGUUCCAGCAGGGAGGGGGGACGGGCUCCCGGGGGCAGGCUGGAGCGCUGGGACUGCAGCGCAGCCCGGCUCCAAGGCUGUCUGCUCUGCGUCUGCUCUGACUCACGGGGGAAACACGCCUUUCAUGGAAGCGCCCAGAGCCCUCGGCCCGAUUUUGAGUUUCUUGAAGAAUCCCUGGAUGGCUUCUGGUUUGUCACUGGGUCCCUGUUAUCCAGCACAAAGGCUGCGGGACACAAAGAAGUACUAAAGCAAGAAUGGCAACGAUGACAACCUCCACUGAGUGCUAACUCUGUACCAGGCCCUGGGGCGAGCUUCAUGGUGCAUUAUCGCCUUAAUCCUGGUAGAGUCUUAUGUGCGUGCCAGCUGCUGAGCUGAGCUUCUCCUAACUUCCUUCCGACUUCAAGCCUCAAUCAGUUCACGGAAGCUGGCCACUCGGAUCUUCCUUCAAGAGAGCCUACGGCGCGGAGUGGAAGGAAGCAUGGGAUCUCUUGACCGGGGACAAUAGCACCCAGAAGACUGACGGACCAUCUGCAAACUUUGAUGUUUACAGUUGAAGAAACCAUGACCAAGUGUAGUAAACCAUAUCAUUUGUUCUCCAUUCUUCCUUCGACCGUUGCCAUGGUCCACUGAGGGUAGAGGGUACUUCCUUGCUCUGUUGAGAUUGGCUUGGUCAUGUGACUUGCUUUGGCCAGUGGAAUGUGGCCAGAAGAGACUGGGUGAUUGUUCUGAUCCCAGGCCUUAAGAGGCAUCACGUGUUUCCACUCGCACCCUGGGAGUUUCUGUCAUCCACCUUGAGGAAAGCAUGCUCUGAGUGGCCAGUGAUCCCAGAGUGAGAGGCACAUGGAGCAGACCUGAGCCUGAAAGACAGCCUGAAGCCUUCCCUGCCAUCCCAGCCUACAUGCAGACUGUGAGCAGGACAGAGGAAUAUUGCUUAUAAGCCACUCAGAUUUUUAGUUGUUUGUUAUGUGGCUUUAUCCUAGCAGUAGCUGACCAAUGCACCAAGGUAAGAGAAGUCAUAUCACAAAAGGUCACAUUAGAAGUCACAGUGUGUGAAUCUUAUCAAUGCUAUGCAUAUAGAAUUGUUUAGUAAAACAAGAAAAGUUCAAAAUAUUAUCAACAAACAUCAUUGUGACAGAACAAAACACAUGUUUGUGUGCUGAUCAGUAUGGGACAAAUUGGGCAGAUGGUCUGCCAAGCACCUUGUUUCUGAGAAUUGCCUCUGCCCCCUCCGUCCACAUUUGCAAACAUAGAUACCACAGUCCUUUACUCUCAACCUCCAUGAUGAGGAAUGAGGACAUAGUCAAUCUAGGCCACAUGCCUUCUUUCCAAGAAUUUUGGACCUAGGACCGAGAUAGAAAGCUCAGUUUCUCUUUGGGGGGAUGGACCAUAAUAUUAAUUUGGGACCUGUUUGAUGGUACUGUUUUUGCCUCAUCCUGAGGCCUGACUGCACCCCUGCCCUUCGAGGUUGGGGGACUCCCCCAUAUCCUUUCACUGAAUUCCCCUUUGUGCUGAAACUUGUUCAGUUACAAAAACUGAAUCAGAAGAGAACUCUGUGGGAAGCAGAAGGUGGCAUUUUGAGUUUAUGAAAAUUUCUUUGGUAAAGUUCUUACUAUCAUGUGGCACAUCUGUCUCCACCCACUAAACCAGACACUCCCCCAGGGCAGAAGAUGGGGCCUGGUUCCAUUCUGCGUGCUCCUGUGACAGCCUCAGGUCUGGUGUGGUCUGGGUGCUCCGCAAAGCUUCCUUGAAUUGAGUCAUUAUAGGAAGUCACAGUUAGUAUCCCCUUUCCUGUGGUGUUGGUUGGUUGGGGGAUACUUUUAUUGCCAUGUUCAUAGCAGCAUCAUGCACAGCAGCCAAAAGGUGAACGCAAUGGAUGAAUGGAGAAAAUACAUACAAUGGAAUAUUAUUCAGCCCUCAAAAGGAAGGACAUUCUGACACAUGCUACAACAUGGAUGAGCCUUGAAGACAUCAUGCUAAGUGAUGUCUGUAUGGUUCCACUUACAUGAGGUAACUAAAGUAGUCAAAUUCAUAAAGACAGAAAGUAGAAUGGUGGUUGGCAGGGGCUGCGGGGAUGAGGGAGUAGGGUGUCAUUGUUUAACAGGCACUGACUUUUGUAAGACGAGGAAAGUUCUGGAGACGGGUGGCCGUGAUGGUUGCACAACAUUGUGAACAGACUUCAUGCCACCGAACUGGACACUGACAAACAGUGCAAACAUAAAUUUUAUGUUAUGUAUAUUUUAGCACAAUUUUUUUUUUAAAGUAAAAUGCUUGGACCAGUGCCUAGUACACAAUACACACCCCAGAACAGAGGGUCCAAACUCCUUUCAUAAUGAUCCUAAGGCAUCCUUUGCCUUUUUCACGGGGGUGAUGGGGCAAAACAAGGGUAGUUCAACCACGGGUGCCCCCAUACCCAUCAGAGCGCCACACUGGCCUAGAAAUAGCCAUAUUCUUUGCUGCCAUGCCCUCGCAAUAAAACACUGCCAACACCACUCAAGAAAGCAGUAACAUUAUUUUAUUGAUGAAACAAUAAAAUGUAUUCAAUUCAUUAUAUAGUGACCCUUGAAUGUACACCUUUUUAAUAUUCUUUUUUUUUAAAGAUUUUAUUUAUUUAUUUGAGACAGAGAGAAUGAGAGAGACAGAGAGCACAUGAGAGGGGGGAGGGUCAGAGGGAGAAGCAGGCUCCCCGCUGAGCAGGGAGCCCGAUGCGGGACUCAAUCCAGGGACUCCAGGAUCAUGACCCGAGCCAAAGGCUCAACCAACUGAGCCACCCAAGGCGCCCCUUAAUAUUCUUUUUUUUAAAAAAAGAUUUUAUUUAUUUAUUUGACAGAGAGAUAGAGAGCCAGAGAGCCCAAGCAGAGGGAAUGGCAGAGGGAGAGGGAGAAGCAGACUCCCCACUGAUGCGGGGCUUGAUCCCAGGACUCUGGGAUCAUGACCUGAACUGAAGGCAGACGCUUAACCAUCUGAACCACCCAGGCGCCCCCCUUUUUAAUAUUCUGUGUGGCAAAACGGGAAGUAUCAUAAAGCACUUCUGCUGUAGACAGAAGCAUCAUGGCUGUCUCCAGGAAAAGCGUUUGUGUUUUUUGAAUUAUUUGAAUUGUGAGCUAAACCAGCCACUUUUUUCAUGGAACACCAUUUUUACUUGGAAGAAAAAUUGACAGGCAAAUUAUAGUUACGCAGACUUGAGUAUCUGGCAGGCAUUUUCUCAAAAACGAAUAAGUGAGCCUGUCAUUUCAAGGUAGACUGACGGUAUUUGCUGCUAAUGAUAAAAUUCAAGCUUUCAAGUGAAAAUUAGAAUUUUGGAAAACUUGUGUUCACCAGUGUAAGCCUGACAGCUUCUCAAUAUGUAAAGAUUUCUCUGAUGAGAUCUGUAGCGAUAUUAAUGAAUUUGAUUUUUUAAUAUUAUAUGCUAAAAUUUAUCAGUUUUUGAAAGAUAACUUGGUGAACUUUUUUUUUUUCCCCCAUAACGGCCAAUGCAUGCUGUUACAAAAUCAUGCAUGGGUAAAAGAUACAUUCAAAGAGCAAAAGAAGGGCACCUGGCUGGCUCAGCUGGUAGAGCAUGGGACUCUUGAUCUUGGGCUCAUGAGUUUGAGCCCCACGUUGGGUGGAGAGCUUGCUUAAAAAAAUGCAAAAGAAACUAAUGGAUAUUACCGUAACUGAGGAAGAAAAUUUCAUUGAUAUGAUUUCAAAUUCUAAUAGCAACUAACUGCCAAGAAAUUUGUAGAAUUUUGGUUAGUAUCAAAGGAGAAUAUCCACAAUUAUUUGAAAAUAAUUCUUUUUUAGCUUCUAGCUAAAAUCUUUUCUAGCUACGAAUCAGUAUAAGUCUGUAUUUUCUUUGUAAGCUUCAAACAAAACAAUAUAUUGUAUCCGAUUGAACGCUGAAACAGAGGAGAAUCCAGCUGUCUUCUAUUAAGCCAAGCAUUAAAGAAAUGUGUAAACCUAUGAAACAAUGCCACUCUUCUCACUAGUUUUUUUGUUGUUGUUGUUUAGGAAAAUAUGUUUUUCAUAAAAAUAUGUUAAAAUUUAAUAUGAUUGUUAUUUUAAGUCAAUGAUGUAAAUAUUUUUAAAUGUCUGUUUUAAUUUAUAAUACUGGAAAUACCAAUAUAAACCACGUAAACAGAAGUUCUGUGGAGUCCUCAAUAAUUUUUAGGUGUGAAACAGUGUCCCGAGAUCCACAAGUUUGAGAGCAAGAGCUCUAGGGUUAGCGCUUUGAACUAGUAUUCUGUUAUUCUGCACCAACCCAUAUCAGACAGCAGGCGGCAGCAGAGGCAGUCUGAUAAUGUUAUUAUCCCUUUGCCUUUCUUUAAAGCUAUUAACCGCCUUUUGGGUGUGACCCGAGCCCCCCGUGUGCUGCUGAAGACAUAGAAGAAAUCCAACGUGGAGUUCAUGGUCCAGUGAUUAAGCAGUUGACAAUAGGGGAACCAAGAUCCCCCCUCUUGUGAGCAAAGUAAAGUCAUAAUGAUUGCUGUUAUUCCCACCGACCGGUGCCAAGGCCUGGUGGAGGGGAGGGGGCCCACAGGAUAUGGGGUCAGAGAGGACCCUGAAGCUUCCCAUCCUUUCAAGACUGGAGCUAGGGAUCCAAUAGAAGGAGAAGCAGGCCAGGUAUAAGUUUUUAUUUACUCGACAGAGACAUUUCCCGGAGCCAUCCCCAACCCGUCCACCAUAUGAAAGAGGCCAGCACGGAUUUAUGGCUCUCACCUCUGUCUCCCUUCCGCUUUCCCGGCCACGCCUCCCAGCCUCCUGCCUGGGAUCCUACUUCACUGAGGCCUUCAGGCCUGAUCUUCCUCACCUGCCCUGGCCCCGCUCUCGGCACCCCCCCACCUGGAAGCGGGAAGUGCUGUCUCUCCUCAGUCUCUGGUCAGUGCCCUGUCUCUCUAGCACACUGCUACCCCCUCUCCUUCACAUGGCUUUAGGCUUUAGGUCCUCCUCCAAAAAACAAAAACCCAAAGCCUCCACCUCUGCCUCCUGCCCAGCUGCCACCCAAGUGUGCCCCCUUUGCCAGCGACCCUGGAAAAGGCCGCCCACACCGUGUCCACGUGCACUGCUGCUCCUGCCUUCACCUCUCCCAGGAACCACCCUCGGUCCCCAGCUGCUGACCCCGAUGAUUCAGUCCUGAUGCUCCUGGCCUGCCCCCUUCUCCCCUUCUCUGAUCAGUUUUUCUCUGACUCUGUCCUGGGCUCCAUCCCCUGUGGGGUUUCCUGCUGCAUCCUUGUGAACCACAUUCCCUCCCUGGGGCUGGUCCCCUCCCCCAAAGAUAGGGCAAAACCCCACAAAUUCUCUAUCUCCCUUAUCCCACACAGACACAGUCAGUAGCUUGCUUCUUUCCCCCUAAAUGUUCGUAACCCCUCCAUACCCACCCCAGCUCAGACCCUCAUCUCUCCUUGUCAUCUGGACUCUCAGAAGAGGCCCCAGCUGCUUUCCCUGCCUCAGUCUUCUCCAAAGAGCCACGAGGGUGAGCUCUGAGAAGCCAAGCUGACACAGUCCCCUGCUUGAUCCCUCCCAACACGCCCCUCUGCUGGCAGCACAGAAGCCAAACUCUGUGACAAAGACCUGAGGGACAGGUCUCCCUGUCUACCUCUCCAGCCAUGGGCUCUCUUGACCUUUCCGCUUGGG